rnacentral:rRNA from 1 species
GGGGAAUCUUCCGCAAUGGACGAAAGUCUGACGGAGCAACGCCGCGUGAGUGAUGACGGCCUUCGGGUUGUAAAGCUCUGUUAAUCGGGACGAAUAGUUCUUGUGCGAAUAGUGCGAGGAUUUGACGGUACCGGAAUAGAAAGCCACGGCUAACUACGUGCCAGCAGCCGCGGUAAUACGUAGGUGGCAAGCGUUGUCCGGAAUUAUUGGGCGUAAAGCGCGCGCAGGCGGAUUGGUCAGUCUGUCUUAAAAGUUCGGGGCUUAACCCCGUGAUGGGAUGGAAACUGCCAAUCUAGAGUAUCGGAGAGGAAAGUGGAAUUCCUAGUGUAGCGGUGAAAUGCGUAGAUAUUAGGAAGAACACCAGUGGCGAAGGCGACUUUCUGGACGAAAACUGACGCUGAGGCGCGAAAGCCAGGGGAGCGAACGGGAUUAGAUACCCCGGUAGUCCUGGCCGUAAACGAUGGGUACUAGGCGUAGGAGGUAUCGACCCCUUCUGUGCCGGAGUUAACGCAAUAAGUACCCCGCCUGGGGAGUACGACCGCAAGGUUG